rnacentral:rRNA from 13 species
GAGCUGGGUUCAGAACGUCGUGAGACAGUUCGGUCCAUAUCCGGUGUAGGCGUUAGAAUAUUGAGAGGAGCCUUCUUUAGUACGAGAGGACCGAGAAGGACAUACCUCUGGUGUACCAGUUAUCGUGCCAACGGUAAACGCUGGGUAGCUAUGUAUGGAGAGGAUAACCGCUGAAAGCAUCUAAGUGGGAAGCCCACCUCAAGAUAAGUAUUCUCAU